rnacentral:rRNA from 1 species
GAUGAACGCUGGCGGCGUGCCUAAUACAUGCAAGUCGAGCGAACAGAUGAGGAGCUUGCUCCUUUGACGUUAGCGGCGGACGGGUGAGUAACACGUGGGUAACCUACCUAUAAGACUGGGAUAACUCCGGGAAACCGGAGCUAAUGCCGGAUAACAUUUAGAACCGCAUGGUUCUAAAGUGAAAGAUGGUUUUGCUAUCACUUAUAGAUGGACCCGCGCCGUAUUAGCUAGUUGGUAAGGUAACGGCUUACCAAGGCAACGAUACGUAGCCGACCUGAGAGGGUGAUCGGCCACACUGGAACUGAGACACGGUCCAGACUCCUACGGGAGGCAGCAGUAGGGAAUCUUCCGCAAUGGGCGAAAGCCUGACGGAGCAACGCCGCGUGAGUGAUGAAGGUCUUCGGAUCGUAAAACUCUGUUAUUAGGGAAGAACAAAUGUGUAAGUAACUGUGCACGUCUUGACGGUACCUAAUCAGAAAGCCACGGCUAACUACGUG